rnacentral:tRNA from 1 species
CGAAAUCGGUAGACGCUACGGACUUGAAAAUCCGUCGACUUUAUAAAUCG